UAGAAAGACAUUAGAAGAGUUUAGUAGGGAAUCAGAACCAUGCAAAGAAACAGAGGUCAAAACAAAGAUUUUGAAGCUUAAAUCAAGUAGUAGAUUUCAAAAACUUGAAAUAAGUUCAAAGAAGUUAGGGUUUUUGAAAUCAAACAUGUUCAGAGAUGAAGAACAAGCAAAUUACAUAUAUAAUGGUCUCAAAACUCGAAUGAACCCCCAAAUUUAGGGUUCUUGCCAUCAAUUGAGUGCAUAAUGAGAGGACAAGUAAAUCAGGUAGAAACACUAACGAAGUAAGUUCAGAAAUCUCAGAAAGAAAAUGAGACCUUUAACAUGCAUCUUUCAGUAGAAGAAACUCCUAAGAAACAUAGUAAAAGUAGAACAUGCAAAACACAACAAAGGAAUUCAUAAGAACAUAGUAGAAGAAACACAUAGGAAACACAGUAGAAGAACUAGUAAGAACACAGUGCGAGAUAAACAUGAAGAAACACAUUAGAAGAGACUGGUAAGAAACAUAGUAGAAGAAACACACAAGACAAAAAGAAGAUCAGAGAACAUCUUAAUGAAACCCUAAAUCGAAAAGAUAAAGGUAUGAAAGCACAGUUUUUGAAAGAAAUCUCGAGAAACCAUUUAAAAGCUCAGGGAAUACACGGAUCUAGAACGGAUCUAAAGAAAUCAGAAGAACCUCAAAAUCUAGGGUUUCAGAGGAACCGAAAUGGUGAGAAAGGCUUGGAAAAUCAUUGAUAUGAGUAGGAGAGGUUGAAAUCAGGCUCGAAUAGCCAUGGCUUGCCGGAGCAAGGUCGGAGAUGGACAUAUCACUUGAAACAAACAGAGCUUGAACCAUGUUUCUUCGUGGUCAGGCCUUGAAUCUUCAAUAACCAUGUGAGUAGGAGUUGUAGGAGGCUGGUGUAGGACUGACUCUGUGGGCUAGGAAGCCAUGGAUUCCAGUGGGUUUAAAAUGGAAAUAGAGGUGGCGGCUAGGGUUUUUGAGAGAGAGUUGAGAGAAGGGGGAAUCCAGGGGCGGCUACCGGUGAGAAAUGAGUAGGGUUUGGGGGUAUUGGGAAAUUAAAAAUGAAUAGAAGAGCGUGAGCCAUUAAUCUAUUAGUUCAACGGCUGGGAUUAAAAGGGGGCCGGGUGGGUUAUUUCAAAG
rnacentral:lncRNA from 1 species